CAGGUAGGAGCCUACCUUCUAGCUUCAGUAAAGUAGAAUGAAGGGAAAAGGGAAAGUAAUAUUUGUUGAGUGACAGUAUUGACAGUGUCAGGGGUUUUACAGAGUGUGAGAACAGGUAACCCAGGACUAACAUGGAGAGAGAAGACGGAGAAGUGGCCUUAGCUGAAAGGAGUAACGUGGUAACUACAUCCGUGAGGGCAGCACAAAGGGUGAAUGAGAGGAACACAGAGAUCUCUGGACCAGGGAUUAAAACUGAGAUUAACCAGUGGACAUCCCGCAUUUGCAAGAGGCUUUGGAGGCUUCUGAAGCAUGGAGGCUCCUUUUGCAAUAGGCUGCAGCAGUAUUAUCACUUCUGAACUUUGAUGGCCGUGUGAGAUGAUUGACUCAACGCAAGACUUUUGCAGUCACUUCUGCAAACCAGGGAUUCAAAUUAGACUGUGAGGCUUUGCAUUUUUA